CCCAAGUCAGCCUGACUCAAGGACCUUACUUACCUUGCACCAUAUCCAGAGGAGUUACCUUUACUUAUAAAAGGCAUGCAUGGUGGGCUGGCUGCAGGCACCAGCGACUCGCACGCAGCUGUGUGUAAGACAAGAAGAGGUUACGUACAACAGGCAGUUAAUGGCUCAUACCAGCAAGCCCUCGACUUCAGUCGGCACAUGCGGCUGAAUUUUAAAAAGGCCCUACAUCUGUCCUCAGAGAAAACUUAUGAUGCUGCUUCAACUGUUGGAAAGAAGAUGCCGUCACCUUCAUCUUGUCUAUUCUAGGCCAAGUAUUUACAUAACACUCAACAGCCUGGUCCCUCUCCAUUAGUUUUCCUGUUUUUCUUAAAACAUGAAACCCUGCACCAAACGUAGUCCUCUGGAUGAUGUGUGCACUGUGCAAAUCUCAAGAAGACAUUAUACCCAAUUUGGUAAUACUUUUCUAAGCUAUCUCCAAUGGUGAUGCACAUCAAAUCACAUCACAUAUAAAAUAUUCCAAGGCUUUUGAUGUGAAACACUGCCAGCCAAGACCACUCAAGCACAUACUUCUAUAAUUGAUUUUUUAAAUAUAAAGCUAAACUUCAAAUUUACAAUUCUAUUAAAUUUUUCUGGUAGGUGUAAGGCAGUGUCUUAGCUUGUUGAGAACACUUCGAACUAUGAUCUAAAGCUCCUGGUAUGUCUUGACCUCCCUAAUGUAUUUUAAAAGUUAAUAAGCAAGGCCCCUUUCUAUCACCUUACAAAUUAUUGAUAAAAAUGUUUACCAGGACAGGGACAAGGACAAAUUCAAGUCUGAAGCUAAGAUACAAGGAUAAAGCCUAAGGUUUAGGAAAGGAGAUAAGGCAUGUCACAAAUUCUUUGGGAAGGGUGAAGAUAGAUACCAAGGGGUGACUUCACUAGUUUAAAGAUAAAUACUUAGAUGAGCAAUGCUACCUUUUCUCCCUCUGAGAGCUGUAUGUACAAGGUCAGGAGCAAUUAGCAAACUGAAGAAUUUCUAGCGUGAACUCUCUCAACUUAAUCAAGAAAUUUAAAAAGACAAACUGAGGACUUUCCAAAAUAGCCUAUCUCUCUUGGAAAGAUGAACACGAAAGCAACCUAUACACAAAGAAACAGUUUUCUGUGUUUUUCAUGUUUUCACCUUGGUCACUGGCCCAAAAACCUAAUACUAAAAUUAGAAAAUGAGUUUUUCCCAAAGAGAUUGCUACAGGGAUUUAUGAGCAAACUUCUACACAAAAGUAACACCAAAAUGCCCAUGCUUAUCACUCUCCUACUACUGAGGUGGUAUUUACUGUAGAAGUUCAAAAAGGUAUUAUUAAGAACAAGAUCCAGAAUGACCCCCAAGCGUAGCACUCUGGCGGAAGAAUGGCUGCCAUGACCAAUAAAACAGAGCAUGAGUGUUAGCUGCUUAAUUAUAAAUGAGCGACAUGAGGCCAAAUACUAUGAUGUUACACAAAGCAGACAGCAUAUAGAUUAAAGGGUCCAGGUUCUAACUCAGAGAUAAAUGUGAGGGAUAGAUGGUCACUUCAACAUUUUCCACACCCCAGUUGGAAUCCUAUAUCUAAGAGAUAUAAUAACAUGGGAACUUAACAAUGUUUGCAAAAAUCAUAGGUGACCCUGUCACUUAUGGCCAUUGGAUCAUUGAUUUGGAUCAUCACCCUCACACUUGAACCUGAACCAAACCACAUACGUGGUGAAUUUAAGGAGUCUUAUAAAAGCUAAAUUAUAUGCCAAAUCACUUAUAAUCACCUAUAUGACACCACAAAGGAGAAACUUAUGAGUAAGAGUCUGAAAUGACAUCAAUACAAAACAUGAGACCCGAUUUAUAUAAUUCUUCACCUUUUUUGUAAGUGUUUCAACAAAACUACCUUUAUUGGUCAACUUACCAAUCCCACAAGCAACAGCAGGUGAGCGUUUUGCUCUUUUAAAAGACUCGGGGCUAGAGACAUAUGAAAAUAUUCACCUCAAAAUACGUGGUGAUAGAGGCACCUGGGUGGCUCGGUCAGUUAAGCAUCUAACUCU